GACAUGUAUAACAAGAAACAUUGCAAAUUGUUUGCCAAACAAAGACUUAUACUGCAGAUGGAAGAACUGAUGAAAAUUGUUUAUAGAUGGGGAACUAAAUGUAGAUUUUUCAAGAACAAGGUUGCUGUCUUCCUUGCCAAGACAAACAAAUCUGAUAGACCAUCUCAUUGCUUUAGGCUGCCUGAGGACCCACUGGAAAGUCUAUGGACCUUUUUCCACAGAAAAUUUGUGUAUUGUCAAUACAUAAGUGUAUUGUCCACAGUUACACUGUGGCAGCUGCAGAGGAAGUGGAAGGUUCUCAGGAAUACAUUAGGGAGAACUGGAUUUUUGGCUUCUGAAACAGUGUGGAGUGCUUUUGGAAACUGUGGAAGUUUAUAAGCUGGAUGUUACUGCUACAAAAGGUUAUCUGUGCAGUGCUUCUGUUUGCAGAGGAAGGACACCAGCUGCAACAAGAGUAGUGUCUGUUCUAGAGUGAGGGAUGAGCUCCACUGGGCAUGAGUUGGCUUCCCUGGCUGCAGGGCUCAGUAUUUCAUUUCAGCAAGUCUGACAUUGCUCAAGUCUUCAUCUCCUCCUGCACUUUAUGCUACUGCAAGGACAGGUUGUAUGUUAUUGAAGAGAGAGAAGUAGAAAAUGCAAUUCAGUGUUUUAUUUUAUGCUCCCCAAGUUUACUCAGACACACCCAGAGAGAAUGUGUGCUGCACUCAACUUGGAGAUCUUGUGUUAGAAAUCCUGGCUCCCCUGUGCUUUCCUGCUUUGCCUGUAGCUGAUAAGAGAGUUCAUAACAGGAACCCCCUGUUACCUCAGCUGCAAAAGGUUCUGAGAAACUAACAGCCAAGAGAGUAGAAUUUAAAUUUAUUUUUGUUUGUCUUGUGUUUCAGCAAGCAUUUAAAAGAUCCCCCAGUUUAUCUUUGUCAGAGAUUGUUUUCCUUUUGGCUUAGGAUGGACACCAAUCUCACUGUUGAGUUUACAUUUAUGGAGUGGGACCCAAGGUUUUCCAGUGUUAUGAUUUUGACUUUGCAAGACUUGUUGCUUGGGAUAGGUGUAAAGGUCAUGUCUGCAUGUACAGCAAGAACAGAACUGGGGUGUGGAUGCUGCUACUUAGUCAGUUGAGAAGGAACAAAAGUAAUCCUGAAGGCUGCCUCUCCUCUUGGCUGGCAGGCAGAAGAGUUGGUAAAAGCUGCAAAGACAACUGAGUAUAAUGAUGGUAUUUAUUCCACAUUUUAUUUCUUAGGUGGAUUUUGAGGACUAAUUUCUAAAAUGUAGUUAUUUUACUCUCCUUUAGCAAACCAUGUGUGGCCACAGCUGUUUUUCCAAAAUGCCUGGUUUUCUUGCUUUUGUUGCCACCAGUCGAGUUCUCACUCCACAUAGCAAUGUCCACAAGGUGGUGCCACAGCUAAGAAGUUUGCAACAAAUAAGACAAAAGUAAUUUGAUAAUUCUGUCUGCUUUUUGUAACUGACUAAAGUAGCUGCAUCAUUAAAGAAUUAAUUAUUUCAUAAGCCAAAUAUCACAGGUUUGCAAGCUCUUUUUUUAAACCACUUGUGUGAGCAAAGGUGGGCCUGUCUGCUGAGCAAGAGCAGCAUCCACAAGCCUGUGACUAUCCCAAAUCCUGUACAAAAAUGAAGAGGCAGCUCAGGGUUUAGCAGACAGGCUGAUGAAGGGCUGUGUAUUUCCUAGCAGGAUUACCUGUGUCAACACUGGCAUGUGUCUUAUGUUUUUAUCUGAUCAUUUCAGCAGGAAUCAACCUGGAUCCUGACAAGCAGAAAAGUUCAUCCACAACUUCAGCCAAGACAGCUUCUACUUACCCUAGAGUGGCUAUGGCACAUCAGACCCAAAUCUCCUGAGUUUUUCCUAGAGCCAGGGAUAACCAGGCUGCCUGUCCUAUACUAAUUUACAGCUGACUGUUAAUUCCAAAGGGUGUGAAGUGCUUACAGAGGGACCUGCACUGAUGCUCAAGUUUCCGAGCAUCUUUCAAGAAAAGAUCAGACUAGAGAAGGUACAAGGCAGUAACAGGGAAUGGAAGAAGUCACGUGUCCAGUACACAAAAGACAAUAAAACUUCCAUAAAAAGUUGUUUGUAGGGGUCUGGAUGACUUCUGUAUGUCGCAGAAGAGCUGAAGUGCAGCAGGACUUGGCCGUGCCCCUGAGAAGGUGUGUGUCAGUUCUUCAGCUACCCUUGGACACGUGGUGCUUCUUGCACCCCUGCCCUGCUCCCCUCAGUGGCCUCUGCAAUCCAGAUAUUUUGCACAGAGAAAAAAUGAUGCUCUAUUCUGAAGGGAAUGAAUGACAGAGUAUCUAAGAUCAUGCAUCUAAGUCUCCACGGUGUGGAAGUCCCAGUAUGGACUGUAAUCCAAGAUCAGGAAGGAGACAAUGCAUUGCCAUCUGAAACACAACGAAGAUCAAAAUAAGUUUUCAGUGUGUCACCAAAACCACAGUGCUAGGUUUCUGUUAAGGAGAAUGAGUAAUACCAUUCUAGCUGUAAAGGUUGCUGUGAGUGGGUAAUAAUUCCAUCUGAUAGGGCAGAUUAUGUGUUCUGCAAGAAAAUAAAUAAUCCCAGGCAAAAUCUUGCCCUAUUUCUUCAGCUCAAUAAGAAAGCCAUACCCACCAUACCCACUUAGCUGCUGUAUGCAUGCUUGUCCAACUAGGAUUCAGGAACAGGUCUGUUCUCCAUCCUACAUGCCCAAACCAGCCUUGUUCAGGAACACAUUGCCUCCAACCUUGGUGUGGAAUGAGGAAUCUGUUCCUGCUGCUGCUCCCAGGAUGUGGGAUGUGGGUUGACCCUCAGCUCUGCAGCUGCAGACAGUGUGUGUCGAGGCCCCUCUCAGAGCCUCUCUCCCCCUUUCUCUUGAAAAGUGUAGGCUUCAGACCUUUCUGGGCACCCAGGAAAAUUAGUGCCCAGCCAGGGCUCACCCAAGUUCCCUCCUGGAGUGGGAUAGGAAUCUGUUCAGAAGAGGAAUGCAAUAACCAUUUCAAAUUUUGUGUGCCAGCCUAUUUUCCACAGACAGCACAAAUUGACAGAACACAGGUAACAUAUUGUUCAUGCUUUGCCUAUUUCUUACUUUGUGUUGCCAGGGAAAAUAGAUUAAAAUUGGUAUUAAGUUUCCUUCUUGUUCUUCCAAUAAUAGAAAAUUACCAGUGAAGAGAAAAUAAGACAGAGGUUUUGUUCUCUAGAAAAGUCUUCCAGCUAAAUGGGUUUUUUUCAAUAUUAUGAAACAUUCUUGCCUGCCUUAAUAGAUGAGAAAAGUAACAGUAGAACUGUGAAACAAAUCAAUACAUCAAAAAUAUUGAGCCAUGGACCAUAGCUA